UACAGAGGUCUCAAGCGUUGUUCGGAUUCAUUGGGCGUAAAGGGUGCGUAGGCGGCGGGGUAAGUCAGGUGUGAAAUCUCGGAGCUCAACUCCGAAACUGCAUUGGAUACUAUUCGGCUUGAGGUCUGGAGGGGGGACUGGAAUUCUCGGUGUAGCAGUGAAAUGCGUAGAUAUCGAGAGGAACACCAGUGGCGAAGGCGAGUCCCUGGACAGGUCCUGACGCUGAGGCACGAAAGCUAGGGGAGCAAACAGG
rnacentral:rRNA from 1 species